GCACGGGGGGGUCUCUUCCUAUAUAAAGGUAUAUACAUAUGUGCCGCUGGAAUGGGUCCCUUUUUUGAUCCGUCAAAUAUAUCAAUGGGGUGCAAUUUUACCAAGGAAAUAUAUCAAUAGGUAGUAAUUGACCGAUUGUGAUAUAUCAAUGGGUGAUAAAUAUAUGAAUGGGUUAUGAUUUCGCUGUGAAAUAUAUGUAUAGGUAGGGAUUUCACAAUUAUUCAAUAUAUGAAUGGGGGGUGUUUUUAAAAUCCCAGCUGCACACCUGUACCCAAAAUCCCAUGUUGAGACCCCCCCGUGGAAAAUAGUCAGAUUUUCUAAUUUUUCAUAGACUUGUGUCUUCAAAGUAAAUAAAGAUAGGGAUAAUCAUCUUUUGGAAAUUUGCUGCAUAUCUCAUGAAUAUGUGGAGCACCUGAAACGCCUCAACAUUUUCUUCUGGAAUGUCCCUGCUAUGAAAACGAACGAGAAGAUAUGUUACACCAAAUAUCCAAAGAGGUUGGGGUCAGAAAUUUGAAUUUAGCUACUAUGCUAACGAGACUGGACGGCGAGAACACAGAAGAGACAAUUUUUAAGUCAAACUACAAACAGUGGCACAUUACAUUGACAGAACAGGCAGAUUUAAUACUUCUGUUCCACAAUCCCAAUCUUAACCAGCGCAUAACAAUGUAAAGCACAGAGAAGAAAAUAUGUUGAGGAAAACGCACCAGAGAGGAAAACCGCACAUUGAGACAAUUCGUGCCAACUGGCCUUAAGAUUGAGAUUGAGAAUAUGUGCCAUUUUAAAUAAAAAGACUCUGUUAAGAAAAUUUAGUUUUUUAGCA
rnacentral:lncRNA from 1 species